UGGGCAUUGGCCAGUUCUGCAGGCUAAGUAGCUCCUUUGUUUAAAAUUGAGAUGCUGCGAACUUGAGCAAAAGAAAAGGCCAAGCCUCAGGUCUAAGUAGUGGAGGACACUAGAUAUAUUACAAGCAAUGGCAAGUAAUAACUUCAACCAUUUAUGAUUGUAAAACUCAAGAAUUUUUGAACUUCCAAAAACAAGGUGCCCAACAAAGCAUCAAAAAUAUAUAACCAAACACUAAUACUGCUGAUGUGCACAACAAACAAUGAUAUGCGUCAUUGAUUUAAUAGCCUCAAUUAACUCUCAUCAUGAUGAAAGCACAGACCACCAGAGUGGUAGUGCCACCACAUCUGAACUUAGCUGCACUAAACAAAUUUGCUGAAUGAUUUUGUAUAAUCAGACAUAUGAUGAACCAAGAUUUGCCAUCUUGGCACGAGACACCAUACCAAUUCACCAGAUCCUGUAUCAAUACCAUCCUAUUAUAGUGUCGGCAUGCUUGGUAUGGUGGCCAGUUCAGUGUACUGAUCGUCAAGAAGUGACUUGUUUGAAUCUUCUUGACUUGUUUGAACUUAAAAGACUCGCACCUGAACGGUCCGCUGGACAUUGUGUUGUAUGUCUAGCAUCAUAUCUAUUAAAUACUCUAGGCAAACUACAUGCCUGCCUUGAAGUUCAAAUGAUUCGGCUACCAAUUUCUCAAGUGUCAGUAGGCCAGACAAUUUUUGGGUGUAACAAAAACUUGGAAGUUAUCCAGGCUAUAAGAGGAGAUGGGACUGUCGCCUGCCUAUAAGAGGAGGUGGGAGUUGCUGGCUGAACACUGUACCGGUGGAAAGUUACCUGGACAAUAGACACACGCUUACCACCACAAAAUCAUGUAUUGGGAGUUAUGGUGACACUGAAUACAAACAUGAAACGUGCAAUGUGAUCUGUUUAACAUGAAGAAGAGAUCAUCCAGGUGGAGGCUUGCAGAGGAUGUGCACAUUUAGGAUAUGGCCUGCAUAUGCUUCUUUCUCACUAAUAAGAUCACCCAGCUUUCCUCUCUAACUUGCUCGAGCCUGCUCCUUUGUCUUCAAAUGAAUUGCGAAAAUGCAUCAAACAUCUCUCCACCAAAAUUACUGGUCUUAUAAUCGGCCAUGAUUAUGCUUCGUGCUAUCUAGAGUAUCUAAAAAUACUAUGGCAACCAAAACCUACUUAUGUAUUAUAAAAGAUAGAAGCAAAUCAUGUAUCAAUAUAAAAUUUAUCAUGUAGAUAUUUAACACCUUGAUGCACACAAACUUUGUGUAGAGAAAAUACUGACUUCAGAUGGUAUAACUUUUUUGAUGAAAACUAUAUUUAUCUUACUAAGAAUAGCAAUUCUUUUUUUCCAGGUAAUGUGAAUAAGAAAUCUGUUGACCUGGUAAUUUGGCCACAUGCAUAUGAAUAACUUAAAUGUGAUCACAUCUUGUAUCCAUCUAUUUUCCAGAGUUUCUUCUUUUUCUCUUUCGAUUUGCAGGAAAACAAGUAAAAGUUGACAACACAGAUGCAGGAGAAGGAAAGGAUUCAACAUGAACAGGGAGCACAGCCAUGAAAAGCAUCUGGUAAUCAAACCAUGCCUGAAGUGUAAUAAUAUGUUCAGACACAUAAAGGUGCAUGCCAAGGUGUCAUUUUGUUAAUGUAUUAAUAGCAUACCUUAGUAGUUCUGUUCAUCUACUUCAUUCUAUGCCUAUGAAAUGAUUGUCUUGAUAUUUUGCUACAUAUGUUGGCCUAUCUGUUUUGCAACUCAUGCAGCACCACUAGGUAAUGUUGAUGUGGAGGCAAUGUCGUAACAUAUAUGACAGAAUUAUGACCACGUGAUCUUUUCUUUAUAGGACAGAUCAACAGAUAUCUUUCAUGAUGUUUUAAGUUGCUAAAUGAAAUAUCAUACAAAGCAGGUCCAAGAUGGUUUUAAUUGGUGUUCUAGUUUUGUAGAAAAUAUCAUCAAGAAGCCAAGAAAUAUAAAGAAUGGUAGCAAGAAAAAUUUUGAUGCACAUUUAUGGGGCAAUUUCUUUGUCAUCUUUAACUAAAUCAUAGUCAACCAAUAGUGUAGGGGCUACAUACAAUACCGUACCUUACCAAUUGUAGGAGUCCUCUCAAGUUAAUCUUCAAAUAAACAAGACAACUAGAGUCCUGAGAUUUGUAUUAUUUGAUCAGUUGCAGCAAUAUUAUUUGAUCAUUUUGUUUUUUGUUGUGGGUUUGCUGGAUGUGUGCUUCUGGGCUGUCAUGUUUUGUAUUUUGGUCAUUUUUGUUUGUCUUGGGGGUGACUUAGGUUCUGCAUGACCCUAUGGAGUUAUUUGGGCUUCCAUUAAUACAGGCUGAUGCUUCUGUAACAUGUUGCUUGCCUCUUUUUGGAGCCAACUUUUGUUGCUCCAUUCAACUAACUUGAAUAGAAGCUGGAUGGGGUCCUCCCAUCUUCUUUUACAUAUAUAUAAAGUCAUAUCUGAGAUUAUCUCAUAAUUCUUUCUCAAAAAUCCUCUUUAUGCCUCAACGAGAUUUUCGUCAACAGAAUUCCUCUUGUUACUUCUCCACUAUUGCUGUUCCUCCCCAUUUUUUAGGCCUACAAAAGCAGCAAUACUACGCAAAAGUAAAAUUUGUAUUUAUUAUUUCCUCAUGAAUCGAUUAUAGGGUUUGGAAGGCAAAAGGUAAAGGAACCAAUAAUGCAUAACAUUAAACAAAAAUAUUUACAAUAUGUAUAGCUUGAUUAACACAGCACAUUUCUUUUUAACUUUGACAAAAUGGUCCAUGGAGUCCAAAUUUUCCAGAAAUGGUUACUUCUAAACUAUAAGUCAACUCACAUUGUUGAAACCCCAUGUUGCAGUUAACAAGGAUGAUAAGAAUGCUUGGAGGCAAUUUGGAUUGCUUAAAGGCCAUAAAUGGCUAGAGAGGCACCUAUCCCAACCAGGCAUCUAAUACAAUUUUUGUGAUUAGACUAAUAAAUGAUCUCGAUCAUCCCACCUAUCAAUUGACUUUCCUGUCGCAAUUAAAAUGUAUUUAGCAGAACAACAAUUUUAUAAAGGCAUUUUUAUUAUGUCACCAGUUGUCUAAAAUCUAAAAGGCAACUAAUACACUCAGGUUUGAUAAAUAUUAGCUACAUAUAUUUACAAUGAUACACCACUUGAACUUCAUUAGUCACUACUUCAUAUUAUUAUUUGAAUUUAUGGAUUUCUGGAAAAAACUAUCCAAUUAUAAAUAAAAAGGGACUUGCUGAACAUGGAAACCAUGUAAAGUAUUAUUCUAAGUUUCUGGAAAUUUAAAACAAACUGGAACCAAAUAGAACAAGAAAGAAUGACAGACCGCCAGACUAAGCAAAUUCAUCAACCGGCAUUGGCAUACCAAACGAUAUUUUUACCCAAAAAAUGCUACAAAUAUAUCAAAAAAACAGAUUAAGCCACAAAUCUACGGAGAGGANNNNNNNNNNNNNNNNNNNNGGGGGGGGAGCUAUGGAGCAAUAUUAGUGGAGACGGAGGAAGAGGGCUUAAUUACUCGAUAUGACGUAGAGAUGGAAGCUCGGAUCCUCGCCUCCGCGGUCGUCAUUCCCUCCACCGGAUUUGCCACUGGGGAAUCCUUUGGAUCGGAGAUGAAGCCCCCGAAUUUUCUCCUCCUCUUCAGAGACUGGAGCCCUACGAGGGCUUGCCCCUCGUCUUUCGCCUCCUCCAUGGCUAGCUAAUAGGCAUGGAGAAGGCGAUCCCUCGUAGGCAUCCAGAUUUAGGAAAAGCGGCUGUCGCCAUGGAUGCGAGAAAAAGACGAGGGAGAGGAGGAGCCCCUGUUCCUCGUUCGAACCACAAGAGACCCAAGAAACAGAGGAAAG
rnacentral:lncRNA from 1 species